rnacentral:rRNA from 1 species
GACGAACGCUGGCGGCGUGCUUAACACAUGCGAGUCGAACGGUGAAGCUCCAGCUUGCUGGAGUGGAUCAGUGGCGAACGGGUGAGUAACACGUGAGCAACCUGCCCCUGACUCUGGAAUAAGCGCUGGAAACGGCGUCUAAUACUGGAUACGAGAAGGGUCCGCAUGGGCACUUUCUGGAAAGUUUUUCGGUUGGGGAUGGGCUCGCGGCCUAUCAGCUUGUUGGUGAGGUAAUGGCUCACCAAGGCGACGACGGGUAGCCGGCCUGAGAGGGCGACCGGCCACACUGGGACUGAGACACGGCCCAGACUCCUACGGGAGGCAGCAGUGGGGAAUAUUGCACAAUGGGCGAAAGCCUGAUGCAGCGACGCCGCGUGAGGGAUGACGGCCUUCGGGUUGUAAACCUCUUUCAGCAGGGAAGAAGCGAAAGUGACGGUACCUGCAGAAGAAGCACCGGCUAACUACGU